GUGGAUGUAGCUCAGUGGUAGAGCACUUGUCUAGCAAGCAAAUAUCCUGGGUUAAAUCCCCACUACUGCA
rnacentral:tRNA from 1 species